rnacentral:rRNA from 1 species
GAUGAACGCUGGCGGCGUGCCUAAUACAUGCAAGUCGAGCGAAUGGAUUAAGAGCUUGCUCUUAUGAAGUUAGCGGCGGACGGGUGAGUAACACGUGGGUAACCUGCCCAUAAGACUGGGAUAACUCCGGGAAACCGGGGCUAAUACCGGAUAACAUUUUGAACCGCAUGGUUCGAAAUUGAAAGGCGGCUUCGGCUGUCACUUAUGGAUGGACCCGCGUCGCAUUAGCUAGUUGGUGAGGUAACGGCUCACCAAGGCAACGAUGCGUAGCCGGCAGGAGAGGGUGGUGGGCCACACUGGGACUGAGACACGGCCCAGACUCCGAAGGGAGGCAGCAGUAGGGAAUCUUCCGCAAUGGACGAAAGUCUGACGGAGCAACGCCGCGUGAGUGAUGAAGGCUUUCGGGUCGUAAAACUCUGUUGUUAGGGAAGAACAAGUGCUAGUUGAAUAAGCUGGCACCUUGACGGUACCUAACCAGAAAGCCACGGCUAACUACGUGCCAGCAGCCGCCGCCG